GACGAACGCUGGCGGCGUGCUUAACACAUGCAAGUCGAACGGAAAGUCCCUGCUUUUGUGGGGUGCUCGAGUGGCGAACGGGUGAGUAACACGUGAGUAACCUGCCCUUGACUUUGGGAUAACUUCAGGAAACUGGGGCUAAUACCGGAUAGGAGCUCCUGCUGCAUGGUGGGGGCUGGUAAGUUUCGGUGGUUGGGGGUGGACUCGCGGCCUAACAGCUUGUUGGGGGGGUAGUGGAUUAGCAAGGCUUUGACGGGUAGCCGGGCUGGUAGGGUGACCGGACACGUUGGGACUGGAAUACGGCCCGGCCUCAUCCGGGAGGGAGCAGAGGGGAAUAUUGCACUAUGGGCGGAAGCCUGAUGCAGCAACGCCGCGUGCGGGAUGACGGCAUUCGGGUUGUAAUCCGCUUUCGCCUGUGACGAAGCGUGAGUGACGGUAAUGGGUAAAGAAGCACCGGCUAACUACGUG
rnacentral:rRNA from 1 species